rnacentral:rRNA from 1 species
AGAGCGAACGCUGGCGGCGUGCUUAACACAUGCAAGUCGAGUGCGCGUCCCGCAGCAAUGCGGGAUGGCGCACGGCGCACGGGUGCGUAACACGUGGGUAAUCUGCCCUUCGAUGGGGAAUAACCUCGCGAAAGCGAGGCUAAUUCCGCAUAACAUUCCGAUGAUCUAGGUCAAUGGAUUCAAAGCCGUAAGGCGUCGGAGGAGGAGCCCCGCGCACGAUUAGCUAGUUGGUGAGGUAACGGCUCACCAAGGCUAUGAUCGUUAGC